rnacentral:lncRNA from 1 species
CCCACCCCCACCCCCAGAGGGGAAGGUAGAGGAGUUGCCUCAUUUCCAGCUGCUGCAGAAGGAGGAGGGAUUGGGUGUGUGCCCAGCUGCGGGGCUCAGGUACAGAUGGUCCAGUGUGCGCUGGGAGGACCCGAGGAACGGCCCAGCAGAUGUGGAAACUCAGAGAGGAUGCCACUGUUUUGAACUAUUUUGAAGGCACAGCCACCAGAGCUUUAGGUCAGAAGAGGUCCUUGGAACUGGAAUUACAGGUGGCUGUGAGCCUCCAGGUAGGUGCUGAGAAUCAAGCAGCCUGGCUCCUCUGUAGGAGCUCUAAGGAAUGCUCUUACCUGCUGAGCCAUCUGUCCAGCCCUGAUUGUCCUGGCUGUUAAUUGAGGAAGGAAGACUUACUCUGAGGGAGGGCUGAGCCAGUCCCCAGGCUGCUCCCUGAAUGGUAUGUAGAGGAGGGGAGCCAGCUAAGCACUGACCAGCGAGGGUGUGCACAUUUUCUUUGGUCUUUGUUUUGAAUGUGGUGUGGCUGGCUGCUUCAAUUCCUGACUUGAUUUCCUCAAAAGGAUAGGCUGUAACCCAGAAUGGUAAACUGCCUU